rnacentral:rRNA from 1 species
AUUGAACGCUGGCGGCAGGCUUUACACAUGCAAGUCGAACGGCAGCGCGGGCUUCGGCCUGGCUGCGAGUUGCGAACGGGUGAGUAAUGCAUCGGAACGUGCCCAGUAGUUGGGGAUAGCCCGGCGAAAGCCGGAUUAAUACCGCAUACGACCUGAGGGUGAAAGCGGGGGACCGAAAGGCCUCGCGCUAUUGGAGCGGCCGAUGUCGGAUUAGCUAGUUGGUGGGGUAAAGGCGUACCAAGGCGACGAUCCGUAGCUGGUCUGAGAGGAUGACCAGCCACACUGGGACUGAGACACGGCCCAGACUCCUACGGGAGGCAGCAGUGGGGAAUUUUGGACAAUGGGGGCAAGCCUGAUCCAGCCAUGCCGCGUGCGGGAAGAAGGCCUUCGGGUUGUAAAGCGCUUUUGUUCGGGAAGAAAUCCUGUGGGCUAAUACCCCGGGGGGAUGACGGUACCGGAAGAAUAAGCACCGGCUAACUACGUG